GGUCACUGAGGCUUCAAGGCUGGUGGGAGGAGCACUGGACUUGGAGGCAGAAAGACC
ensembl:miRNA